rnacentral:rRNA from 1 species
UCGAGCGAGCAUUUAACAUGAAGUUUUCGGACGGAAUGUUAUCUGACUGAGCGGCGGACGGGUGAGUAACGCGUGGGUAACCUGCCUUACACAGGGGGAUAACACUUAGAAAUAGGUGCUAAAACCGCAUAAGCGCACAGCUUCGCAUGAAGCGGUGUGAAAAACUCCGGUGGUGUAAGAUGGACCCGCGUCUGAUUAGCUUGUUGGCGGGGUAACGGCCCACCAAGGCGACGAUCAGUAGCCGGCCUGAGAGGGCGGACGGCCACAUUGGGACUGAGACACGGCCCAGACUCCUACGGGAGGCAGCAGUGGGGAAUAUUGCACAAUGGGGGAAACCCUGAUGCAGCGACGCCGCGUGAGUGAAGAAGUAAUUCGUUACGUAAAGCUCUAUCAGCAGGGAAGAAACACUGACCUUACGGUCAGCAGACGGUACCUGAGUAAGAAGCCCCGGCUAACUACGUGCCAGCAGCCGCGGUAAUACGUAGGGGGCAAGCGUUAUCCGGAUUUACUGGGUGUAAAGGGAGCGUAGACGGUGAAGCAAGUCUGAAGUGAAAGGCGGGGGCUCAACCCCCGGACUGCUUUGGAAACUGUUUGACUGGAGUGCAGGAGAGGUAAGUGGAAUUCCUAGUGUAGCGGUGAAAUGCGUAGAUAUUAGGAGGAACACCAGUGGCGAAGGCGGCUUACUGGACUGUAACUGACGUUGAGGCUCGAAAGCGUGGGGAGCAAACAGGAUUAGAUACCCUGGUAGUCCACGCGGUAAACGAUGAUCACUAGGUGUCGGUGAGUAUAGACUCAUCGGUGCCGUCGCAAACGCAGUAAGUGAUCCA